rnacentral:rRNA from 1 species
CUACUGGGGUUUCUAAUCCUGUUCGAUACCCGCACCUUCGAGCCUCAGCGUCAGUUACGCUCCGGAUGGCUGCCUUCGCGAUCGGAGUUCUUCAGGAUAUCUAAGCAUUUCACCGCUACACCCUGAAUUCCGCCAUCCCUGCGCGUACUCAAGAAAUAUAGUUUCAACUGCAUAACAGAGUUGGGCCCUGAUAUUUAACAGCUGACUUACACUCCCGCCUGCGCUCCCUUUAAACCCAAUAAUUCCGGAUAACGCCCGGACCUUCCGUAUUACCGCGGCUGCUGGCAC